rnacentral:rRNA from 1 species
GAUCAUGGCUCAGGAUGAACGCUGGCGGCGUGCCUAACACAUGCAAGUCGAGCGAUUACUUCGGUAAAGAGCGGCGGACGGGUGAGUAACGCGUGGGUAACCUGCCUCAUACACAUGGAUAACAUACCGAAAGGUAUGCUAAUACAGGAUAAUAUAAGAGAUUCACAUGGAUUUCUUAUCAAAGCUCCGGCGGUAUGAGAUGGACCCGCGUCUGAUUAGCUAGUUGGUAAGGUAAUGGCUUACCAAGGCGACGAUCAGUAGCCGACCUGAGAGGGUGAUCGGCCACAUUGGAACUGAGACACGGUCCAAACUCCUACGGGAGGCAGCAGUGGGGAAUAUUGCACAAUGGGCGAAAGCCUGAUGCAAGCAACGCCGCGUGAGUGAUGAAGGCCUUCGGGUCGUAAAACUCUGUCCUCAAGGAAGAUAAUGACGGUACUUGAGGAGGAAGCCCCGGCUAACUACGUGCCAGCAGCUGC